GGGCCCGCACAAGCGGUGGAGCAUGUGGUUUAAUUCGAUGCAACGCGAAGAACCUUACCUGCCCUUGACAUCCUCGGAAGGGACCGGAAACGGACCCGUGCCUUCGGGAACCGAGAGACAGGUGCUGCAUGGCUGUCGUCAGCUCGUGUCGUGAGAUGUUGGGUUAAGUCCCGUAACGAGCGCAACCCCUAUCCUUAGUUGCCAGCACGUAAUGGUGGGAACUCUAUGGAAACUGCCCGUGAUAAGCGGGAGGAAGGUGUGGAUGACGUCAAGUCCUCAUGGCCCUUACGGGUUGGGCUACACACGUGCUACAAUGGUCGGUACAAAGGGCAGCGAAGCCGCGAGGUGGAGCGAAUCUCACAAAACCGAUCGUAGUCCGGAUUGCAGUCUGCAACUCGACUGCAUGAAGCUGGAAUCGCUAGUAA
rnacentral:rRNA from 1 species